CGGGGCGUAGCGCAGCCUGGGUAGCGCGCUUGCUUGGGGUGCAAGAGGUCGAGAGUUCAAAUCUCUCCGCCCCGACCA
rnacentral:tRNA from 1 species